GAGGAUGGUAACCCACGGCUUGAGGAGGUGCAGCGGCAAGAGGAGAGGCAGCCGGAGUUUGUGACUUACGAGACGAAUGAGACGAGUGAGGCGAGCCGUGGGGAGGAAGGGCGUGUGAGUCGUCCGCAACGGAGGGUCUGCAAGCCAAGGAAGUACGAGGAUUUCAUACCUCAUCGUUAGUUGAUUAUUUAUUUCCGAAUUAUUGUUUUGGGCUUGGCCCGUUUUUUUUAUUAUUUCGAGUCGAGCAACUUAUGAGCUCCGUUACGGGUUUUCUUGUUGGUUCUUUCCCGGUAACGUAAGUCCGAACCAACCCUAGGGGUCUAGUAUUUAUAGAGAGAAGGGUGUAAUAUCGAAGGCAUAUAUGAAACCCUAAUUUCUAUUAUUUUUGCU
rnacentral:lncRNA from 1 species